rnacentral:misc_RNA from 1 species
GAUGAAGAACGUAGCGAAAUGCGAUAAGUAGUGUGAAUUGCAGACUUUAGUGAAUCAUCGAAUCUUUGAACGCACAUUGCGCCCCUUGGUAUCCCGAGGGGCAUGCCUGUUCGAGCGUCAUUUCACCACUCAAGCCUGGCUUGGUGUUGGGCGACGUCCUCUUUGGGGACGCGCCUCGAAACGCUCGGCGGCGUGGCACCGGCUUUAAGCGUAGCAGAAUCUUUCGCUUUGGAAGUCGGGGCCCCGUCUGCCGGAAGACCUGCUCGCAAGGUUGACCUCGGAUCAGGCAGGGAUACCCGCUGAACUUAAGCAUAUCAAUAAGCGGAGGA